rnacentral:lncRNA from 1 species
UGGGUGGGGAAAGGCUUUAUGGCUUAGCUGGCUGCUUGUUGGAGGCUUUCUCUGAGCCGACAGCUCCAGGUCCAGGGGAAGGCUGGUGACACAUGGUGCUUCUCAAGGCUCUGAAGAGUCCAACUCCUCGUGGAGCUUCCUGAGAACUUGUGGAAGGAUGUCCCAAACCAGCCAACAGAUCAAUGAACAGCUGACGUGUGGACAAAGGAAAGCAGCUUUGAGCUGCAGUCCCAAAGCUCGCCAUCAGUUCACCUUUUAGGAGCCCAGCAGUUCCCUUACCAUGCUGGUUCCAGCAGUGGCUCCAGUUCACUCAAGGAACCGUCUGCACCCUGGUACGGAUGACCCAAAAAAAUAAUUUACCACCGUGAAGGAAUCCAAUUUAUUGAUUUUAUUUUAGUUUCCUACUCUCGAUUUUUUUCUUCUUUGGCUUCUAAAAGACAAAUUUUUGUCUUUAGAGGAGUUUAAUUUUGAGUCUUUUAACUUUGGGUACUGGCUGCAGUAUAUUUCUGUGGGGUAAGGAAGCAUGAGCCGUACAGAAUUCCUAUAUAGGAACAGAAUAUUUCCAUCUACUGCACUACAAUAUAUUGCAAAAUAAAUACUGCAAAUUAUUAUUCCAAAUCCAAUGAUAUAACAGAAAUGUGCACCUGAGCAACUCCCAAAAUGUCUUCUUUUGAAACAGAUGGACAAAAUCAGAGCUAAUUAUGGAAUCUCAAGGAAAAAAGACACAGAUGCAAGAUUAACCAGAAAGAAUUUAAAAAAAACCAAAAGACAAGGAUUUCUAUUUGAUGGGCAGAAACUCCGAACUCCCAGCUGAAAGGACAGUAACAUUUAGCUUUUUCAAUUCAUUGCUCCAUGCUAUCUAGACUUAAAUUUACUCCAUUUGUCUGGCUCAGAAACAGAGAAAAUCCAAGACAAUGAAAGUAGUUCUAACAUCCUAAGGUCUUCACAUUAUUUAAAAGCCACUGGCACCAUCACCCUGGGAAUCAGGUCCUAAAAGCAGUAAGAAGAGGUAGUUCCUAUUAAAGGUCCCAGCUUCUGCAGAACUAUUAUUAGUACCAUGAGCUGCCUUGGCGACAGCACUUGCCAGAAUAAAUUCUACAUCCCCAAACACCGGGUUUACCGUAAAGUUUGUCCCCUAUUUACCUGUUAAAACAAAGUACCAUUUAAGUAGUUGGCACAUCAGUCAAAACUACUCCUGUUCCACUGGCUCACAGAGAAUGCAGAGUUAAAUACCAAUGUAAAGCAGAACAAAUGGCAAUAAUCAUGUUUGCUUGUGAAGGUUUUAUCUGCUGGAUAGCUAUAUAUCCAUUUGUCAUCACUGACUCCAACAGGAUAGGAAGCAGAGGUAUAAUGACCCAGGAUUUUAUCUUAUUUGAAAAUGAAGUAAAGAUUCUAGAUGAAAAUACCAAAACUAUGACACUCAGCACUUUUUAUU